GAAAUGCGAUAAGUAAUGUGAAUUGCAGAAUUCAGUGAAUCAUCGAAUCUUUGAACGCAUCUUGCGCUCUCUGGUAUUCCGGGGAGCAUGCCUGUUUGAGAAUCGCAAAGCAAUACAAAUCACAUUCAUGUUUGUGAAUGUGGAGUUGAGCCCUCUUCCUUCUCUCCUCGAGAGAGAGGGAUGGCUUGAAAUGCAGAAGGCCGGUCUGGGUAAAACCAGAUUUACCGGGACAGAUUUAUUUCGGAGCAAUAAUAGUUAAUGCGCUCUGCGCGUUAUCCUUUUUGCUCUGUGUCUGCCCUGGUGUUGUUGGCCUCACACUUUCUUUUUCUUUGGGAAAAGGGAGGAACUAGAGUAUCUCGACGAAGAAGUGUUACUUCUUCUGACCUCUUAGAUCUCAAAU
rnacentral:misc_RNA from 1 species